UACGUAGGGUGCAAGCGUUAAUCGGAAUUAUUGGGCGUAAAGAGCUCGUAGGCGGUCUGUCGCGUCGAAUGUGAAAACCCGGGGCUCAACUCCGGGCUUGCAUUCGAUACGGGCAGGCUAGAGUUCGGUAGGGGAGUCUGGAAUUCCUGGUGUAGCGGUGAAAUGCGCAGAUAUCAGGAGGAACACCGGUGGCGAAGGCGGGACUCUGGGCCGAUACUGACGCUGAGGAGCGAAAGCGUGGGGAGCGAACAGG
rnacentral:rRNA from 1 species